rnacentral:rRNA from 1 species
AGUGAACGCUGGCGGUAGGCCUAACACAUGCAAGUCGAACGGCAGCACAGUAAGAGCUUGCUCUUACGGGUGGCGAGUGGCGGACGGGUGAGGAAUACAUCAGAAUCUACUUUUUCUUGGGGGAUAACGUAGGGAAACUUACGCUAAUACCGCAUACGACCUACGGGUGAAAGCAGGGGAUCUUCGGACCUUGCGCGAUUGAAUGAGCCGAUGUCGGAUUAGCUAGUUGGCGGGGUAAAGGCCCACCAAGGCGACGAUCCGUAGCUGGUCUGAGAGGAUGAUCAGCCACACUGGAACUGAGACACGGUCCAGACUCCUACGGGAGGCAGCAGUGGGGAAUAUUGGACAAUGGGCGCAAGCCUGAUCCAGCCAUACCGCGUGGGUGAAGAAGGCCUUCGGGUUGUAAAGCCCUUUUGUUGGGAAAGAAAAGCAGCAUGUUAAUACCCCGCUGUUCUGACGGUACCCAAAGAAUAAGCACCGGCUAACUUCGUG